UGUGUGAAUUGUUUACGAGGAAAUUCCGAUUGUUACUUUAACAAGCUGAGCACUCUUGACUCUGGUUCGUGGUUCCCAGUGAUAAAUGUAUCGAGUGAUGAAAGAGUCAACGGUGACAUUUUAAAGUUUGAUUGGCGUGGACUAUCGGAAUGAAGAUGACUGCAGGAAUGGUUUGUUUGAUUAUUGGCCUAUCAAACAUUUUCCAGUCAUUUGAUGAUGCCACCACUUGGGAUAGUAAGCUGCAAAUAUAGACUUGUACUCAGCACGUAUUGCCUUUGAGAAGUAAGGGAUCCUUUUGACACUGAAUCUCGGUGUAUGCGGUCUCAUUGGAGUAACCCGUCUGAAGCAUUUAGCUAUGGGAUUGGAACCUGUGAUGUGUGACUGUCAUCAGAGUACUGAAAUUUGAUUCCAAGCACGAUCAUGAUUUGCCAGAAGAGCAUCUGUUGGGGGAUGACAAGGAAUAAACAGCAUAAUGAAAUUGAAACAUUCAUGUGAAUCAGUCUGUCUUAGUUUAUGAUAUUGACUUUAAAUAUUCAUAUUUAAAUUUUGAUUUGAGAAACAGACAUAAAUCCACAAAUAUGAACAAAUCAAUUGCUUUCAGUUUUUCAAGAGAAAUAGAUUUUGUUACAGAGUCUAUCUUUAGUUUGGAAUAAAUAUUCUUUUUAAGUAUGUGUCAGAUCUUGCAUGUAAACAUCUGUUUUGAGGUCUUCCGUUUCCAAGAGAAGACAUACCAGUUCUAAUAGUUAAGGUUAUAAAUGUGUGUAAAUAUUUGUAUUUUUACAGUAUAAUUGAUUGAUUGAUUGUUUACUGUUUAACGUCCCUCUCCAGAAUAUUUCACUUAUAUGGAGACGUCACCAUUGCCGGUGAAGGGCUGCAAAUUUAGGCCUAUGCUUGGCACUAAUGGCCUUUAAGCAGGGAGGGAUCUUUAUUGUGCAACACCUGCUGUGACACGGGGCCUCGGUUUAUACGGUCUCAUCCGAAGAACCGCCCCAUUUAGUCGCCUUUUACGACAAGCAAGAGGGUACUGAGGACCUAUUCUAACCCGGAAAGGUUUUUGCUAUUUGAGUCAAAGAAAUAAAGAAUGGUAGCAAACUUGACAAUUGAAACAUUUCACUUUCUGCUUAUCGCUAAGAAGGAAGACCCACUCGUUGCUUUGCAACGAGCUUUGCUCUAGUUAUUAUUAUUUUUCUUCUUCCUGGGCACUUUUUUGUCCGCGUAUGAUCUCGUAAACUAUACAUCCGACUAAGGUGAAAUGUUUUUAGGGUCAGUAGACAUGUUAUGCAGAUUUGCCGAACGAAGGUCAUUUUGCGCGCACGUGCUUGCAAGAGCGCGCACGUGCAACACAUGAAACGACCAAUAUAAUGAAUAUAGCAGUAACUUUUUCAAUUUUUGAUGAAAUGCUUUGAAACUCAUUAUAUAAGGAUAUAUUAGUAGCAUAGACAAGAUGACAUGGUCAAAAUAGCAAGAUCUCACGCGCAUGCACGUGCUCUUUGCUCUGAUUGGCUGAAACUAAAGUCUCAAUAUCUCUCUUGUUUUUUUACGAAAUCGUUU